rnacentral:rRNA from 1 species
UACGUAGGGUACAAGCAUUAAUCGGAAUUAUUGGGCGUAAAGGGCGCGUAGGCGGAAAGGUAAGUCAGAUGUGAAAUACCAAAGCUCAACUUUGGUGCUACAUUUGAAACUCCCUUUCUAGAGGACUGACGGAGAAAGCGGAAUUCCACGAGUAGCGGUGAAAUGCGUAGAUACGUGGAGGAACACCGGUGGCGAAAGCGGCUUUCUAGUUUUUACCU